rnacentral:lncRNA from 1 species
GCUACUCCAGAUCUGGGCUGAGGUGGGAGAAUCAUUUGAACCCAGGAGGUGGAGGUUGCAGUGAGCUGAAAUCACACGACUGUACUCUAGCCUGGGUGACAGGGUGAGACCCUAUCUCAAAACAAACAAACAAAAACCCCACCAGCAACCUUGCUGACAAAUCCACAGGCCCCCACGUCUGCCAAUUGCCUGCCUGUAUGAACUGGGCACCUGGGGGAGGGGCGUGGCCCCCAGGCUACUCAUCUUGGCUUUCACAGCCAAAGGGCCUGGGUGGAACCUCAGCUUACUGUGUUUACUGACUGGGUAAUGUGGCCUCUGAAGCUGUCACCUAUCUAUAAAAUGGGGAUUAAAACGA